CUACGGGUCGCAGCAGUGGGGAAUAUUGCACAAUGGGCGCAAGCCUGAUGCAGCCAUGCCGCGUGUAUGAAGAAGGCCUUCGGGUUGUAAAGUACUUUCAGCGGGGAGGAAGGGAGUAAAGUUAAUACCUUUGCUCAUUGACGUUACCCGCAGAAGAAGCACCGGCUAACUCCGUGCCAGCAGCCGCGGUGAAUACGGAGGGUGCAAGCGUUAAUCGGAAUUACUGGGCGUAAAGCGCACGCAGGCGGUUUGUUAAGUCAGAUGUGAAAUCCCCGGGCUCAACCUGGGAACUGCAUCUGAUACUGGCAAGCUUGAGUCUCGUAGAGGGGGGUAGAAUUCCAGGUGUAGCGGUGAAAUGCGUAGAGAUCUGGAGGAAUACCGGUGGCGAAGGCGGCCCCCUGGACGAAGACUGACGCUCAGGUGCGAAAGCGUGGGGAGCAAACAGGAUUAGAUACCCUGGUAGUC
rnacentral:rRNA from 1 species